rnacentral:rRNA from 1 species
UCUGAUGCCCAGGGCCGCACGCGCGUCACACUGAAGGAAUCAACGUGUGCUCUCCCUGUCCGGUAGGACUGGGUAACCCGUUGAACCUCCUUCGUGAUAGGGAUAGGGGCUUGUAAUUGUUCCCCUUGAACGAGGAAUACCCAGUAAGCGCGAGUCAUCAACUCGUGCUGAUUACGUCCCUGCCCUUUGUGCACACCGCCCGUCGCUACUACCGAUUGAAUGAUUUAGUGAGGUCUUCGGACUGGCGCUCGUACUCGUCCCUAUCGGGCGGGCCGAAGUGCCGGAAAGAUGACCAAACUUGAUCAUUUAGAGGAAGUAAAAGUCGUAACAAGGUAACC